rnacentral:rRNA from 1 species
GACGAACGCUGGCGGCGUGCCUAAUACAUGCAAGUCGAGCGGACGGAAGGAAGCUUGCUUCCUAAAGUCAGCGGCGGACGGGUGAGUAACACGUGGGCAACCUGCCCCUAAGAUCGGGAUAACUUCGGGAAACCGGAGCUAAUACCGGAUAUGAUUAUGUCUCACAUGAGACAUAAUGGAAAGACGGUUUCGGCUGUCACUUAGGGAUGGGCCCGCGGCGCAUUAGCUAGUUGGUGAGGUAACGGCUCACCAAGGCGACGAUGCGUAGCCGACCUGAGAGGGUGAUCGGCCACACUGGGACUGAGACACGGCCCAGACUCCUACGGGAGGCAGCAGUAGGGAAUCUUCCGCAAUGGACGAAAGUCUGACGGAGCAACGCCGCGUGAGUGAAGAAGGUUUUCGGAUCGUAAAACUCUGUUGUCAGAGAAGAACAAGUCGGAGAGUAACUGCUCCGGCCUUGACGGUAUCUGACCAGAAAGCCACGGCUAACUACGUGCCAGCCGCCGCCGUAAUAC